CCCUUCGAUAGCUCAGUUGGAAGAGCGGAGGACUGUAGAUCCUUAGGUCGCUGGUUCAACUCCGGCUCAAGGAG